UGGGGAAUAUUGCACAAUGGGGGAAACCCUGAUGCAGCGACGCCGCGUGAGCGAAGAAGUACUUCGGUAUGUAAAGCUCUGUCAGCAGGGAAGAUAAUGACGGUACCUGACCAAGAAGCCCCGGCUAACUACGUGCCAA
rnacentral:rRNA from 1 species